GUUCAAUACAAGUUUAACUUGCAUAUACAAUGAGCAUGGAAACGUAGAAGUAGCCCCGUACAAGGGAAAAUUUGGUCGCAAAAACAUUUAUAUUUGCCUCGUAUCUGUACUAUCUAUUAUAUAUUAUCUAUUAUCUAUUACCACUAAAAACACGAGAAGGCAGCCCCAAUUUACAAUCUAGACCGUCUAAUCAAAUGAUCAACGGUUUAGAAAAGUUGUUAACAAAACAAAGCUCACUUACGAAACGCUAAUCUACAUCCCAUCGCUUCUUCUCAUCCGCACGUCGUUGCCCGGCCAACCGCUCGCGCACCUGCCUCCCUCUCCUUCACGACCUCGGUGCUCCUGCACCCGCCGCUCAUCCCCGCCUC
rnacentral:lncRNA from 1 species